GGAAUAUUGGACAAUGGGCGCAAGCCUGAUCCAGCCAUGCCGCGUGCAGGAUGACGGUCCUAUGGAUUGUAAACUGCUUUUGCACAGGAAGAAACAACGCUACGUGUAGCGUCUUGACGGUACUGUGAGAAUAAGGAUCGGCUAACUCCGUGCCAGCAGCCGCGGUAAUACGGAGGAUCCAAGCGUUAUCCGGAAUCAUUGGGUUUAAAGGGUCCGUAGGCGGUUUAGUAAGUCAGUGGUGAAAGCCCAUCGCUCAACGGUGGAACGGCCAUUGAUACUGCUAGACUUGAAUUAUUAGGAAGUAACUAGAAUAUGUAGUGUAGCGGUGAAAUGCUUAGAGAUUACAUGGAAUACCAAUUGCGAAGGCAGGUUACUACUAAUUGAUUGACGCUGAUGGACGAAAGCGUGGGUAGCGAACAGGAUUAGAUACCCCAG
rnacentral:rRNA from 1 species